rnacentral:rRNA from 1 species
GAUGAACGCUGGCUACAGGCUUAACACAUGCAAGUCGAGGGGAAACGACGGGGAAGCUUGCUUCCCCGGGCGUCGACCGGCGCACGGGUGAGUAACGCGUAUCCAACCUGCCUCUGACUGAGGGAUAACCCGUCGAAAGUCGGCCUAAUACCUCAUGGCAUCGUCUGCGGGCAUCCAACAACGAUUAAAGAUUUCAUCGGUCAGGGAUGGGGAUGCGUCUGAUUAGCUUGUUGGCGGGGUAACGGCCCACCAAGGCUACGAUCAGUAGGGGUUCUGAGAGGAAGGUCCCCCACAUUGGAACUGAGACACGGUCCAAACUCCUACGGGAGGCAGCAGUGAGGAAUAUUGGUCAAUGGGCGGGAGCCUGAACCAGCCAAGUAGCGUGCAGGAUGACGGCCCUAUGGGUUGUAAACUGCUUUUAUGCGGGGAUAAAGUGAGGGACGUGUCCUUCAUUGCAGGUACCGCAUGAAUAAGGACCGGCUAAUUCCGUG